rnacentral:rRNA from 1 species
UACGGAGGGUGCAAGCGUUAAUCGGAAUUACUGGGCGUAAAGCGUGCGCAGGCGGUUUGUUAAGUCCGUUGUGAAAGCCCCGAGCUCAACUUGGGAAUUGCAGUGGAUACUGGCAGGCUGGAGUACGGUAGAGGAAGGUGGAAUUCCCGGUGUAGCAGUGAAAUGCGUAGAUAUCGGAAGGAACAUCAGUGGCGAAAGCGACUUCCUGGACCAGUACCGACGUUCAGGCACGAAAGCGUGGGGAGCAAACAGG